rnacentral:rRNA from 1 species
ACACGACUACAUUAGAUACCCGGGUAGUCCCAGCCCUAAACGAUGCGCGUUAGGUGUAUCGGUGACCACGAGUCACCGAGGUGCCGAAGGGAAACCGUGAAACGUGCCGCCUGGGAAGUACGGUCGCAAGGCUGAAACUUAAAGGAAUUGGCGGGGAGCACCACAACGGGUGGAGCCUGCGGUCUAAUUGGACUCAACGCCGGGAAGCUCACCGGAUAAGACAGCGGAAUGAUUGCCGGGCUGAAGACCCUGCAUGACCAGCUG